rnacentral:rRNA from 1 species
AUUGAACGCUGGCGGCAUGCCUAACACAUGCAAGUCGAACGAAGGCUUCGGCCUUAGUGGCGCACGGGUGCGUAACGCGUGGGAAUCUGCCCUUGGGUUCGGAAUAACAGUUAGAAAUGACUGCUAAUACCGGAUGAUGUCGUAAGACCAAAGAUUUAUCGCCCAAGGAUGAGCCCGCGUAGGAUUAGCUAGUUGGUGGGGUAAAGGCCCACCAAGGCGACGAUCCUUAGCUGGUCUGAGAGGAUGAUCAGCCACACUGGGACUGAGACACGGCCCAGACUCCUACGGGAGGCAGCAGUGGGGAAUAUUGGACAAUGGGCGAAAGCCUGAUCCAGCAAUGCCGCGUGAGUGAUGAAGGCCUUAGGGUUGUAAAGCUCUUUUACCCGGGAUGAUAAUGACAGUACCGGGAGAAUAAGCUCCGGCUAACUUCGUGCCAGCAGCCGCCGUAA